GCAGUCGUCUUUCUGCGAUCUGCGAUUUGUUUAUUUUAAGUUGGUGCUACUGUUUAAAAUCCAAGUAUCCUAUCUACAAAGAUAAAUUGGUGAAGAUGAAUUGAAGAUUGAAUCAAUCAACAAAGAAAUCAAUACUUUGACAAUAAAAAAGGUUGAACAAGUUGCACCUCUAAUAUUAAGUGAUGGAGUGGAAAGAAAUACUUUAUACGUAUCACCAUCAGAUUGUGAGCGUGCAAAUAAGGAUGCACUGUUCGGCACAAAAUUAUUAGUAAAUCACAAGAAAAGUCUAGAAGAUGGCUUGAAAAAAGUAAUUGGCACAAACGUUGUGCAAGAAGAUUUUACAUCAGUUGCAAGUGGGAGCAACUGGAAACUCUUAGAUAUUUAUGAUGUUGACACUGAUGAAACUUAUCGUUUGACGGUCUCUCCUGAAGAUUAUCAGCUAGCUCAAAUUGGUAAGAUAAAUUUAAUAACUUUCAACCCCUUUAUACUGUUUUUAUCUUUUGCCCAUAUUUAUUAUUGUUUACAGAUAUGGGAUUUGCAACAAAACUUUUGCAGUCUUACAAAACAAUGUGCAAUCUGCCAUUAAAUGAAAAUAAUUCAAAUGCAUGCAAUAUCGUUGAUAAAGGACAGGUACAAGC